AGUGAACGCUGGCGGUAGGCCUAACACAUGCAAGUCGAACGGCAGCACAGUAAGAGCUUGCUCUUACGGGUGGCGAGUGGCGGACGGGUGAGGAAUACAUCGGAGUCUACUUUUUCGUGGGUGAGAACGUAGGGAAACUUACGCUAAUACCGCAUACGACCUACGGGUGAAAGCAGGGGAUCUUCGGACCUUGCGCGAUUGAAUGAGCCGAUGUCGGAUUAGCUAGUUGGCGGGGUAAAGGCCCACCAAGGCGACGAUCCGUAGCUGGUCUGAGAGGAUGAUCAGCCACACUGGAACUGAGACACGGUCCAGACUCCUACGGGAGGCAGCAGUGGGGAAUAUUGGACAAUGGGCGCAAGCCUGAUCCAGCCAUACCGCGUGGGUGAAGAAGGCCUUCGGGUUGUAAAGCACUUUUGUUGGGAAAGAAAAGCAGCAGGUUAAUACCCCGCUGUUCUGACGGUACCAACAGAAUAAGCACCGGCUAACUUCGUG
rnacentral:rRNA from 1 species